rnacentral:tRNA from 1 species
GGAGGAGUGGCAGAGCGGUUGAAUGCGGCGGUCUUGAAAACCGUUGUACCUUUACAGGUACCGUGGGUUCGAAUCCUACCUCCUCCG